UACGAAGGGUGCAAGCGUUAAUCGGAAUUACUGGGCGUAAAGCGCGCGUAGGUGGUUUGAUAAGUUGGAUGUGAAAGCCCUGGGCUCAACCUGGGAACUGCAUCCAAAACUGUCUGACUAGAGUACGGUAGAGGGUGGUGGAAUUUCCUGUGUAGCGGUGAAAUGCGUAGAUAUAGGAAGGAACACCAGUGGCGAAGGUGACCACCUGGACUGAUACUGACACUGAGGUGCGAAAGCGUGGGGAGCAAACAGG
rnacentral:rRNA from 1 species